GAAUAUUGGGCAAUGGGCGCAAGCCUGAUCCAGCCAUACCGCGUGGGUGAAGAAGGCCUUCGGGUUGUAAAGCCCUUUUGUGGGGAAAGAAAAGCAGUCGGCUAAUACCCGGUUGUUCUGACGGUACCCAAAGAAUAAGGAACGGCUAACUUAGUGACAGCAGCCACGGUUGUACGAAGGGUGCAAGCGUUACUCGGAAUUACUGGGCGUAAAGCGUGCGUAGGUGGUUGUGUAAGUCUGUUGUGAGAGCCCUGGGCUCAACCUGGGAAUUGCAGUGGAUACUGGGCGACUAGAGUGUGGUAGAGGGUAGUGGAAUUCCCGGUGUAGCAGUGAAAUGCGUAGAGAUCGGGAGGAACAUCCAUGGCGAAGGCAGCUACCUGGACCAACACCGACACUGAGGCACGAAAGCGUGGGGAGCAAACAGG
rnacentral:rRNA from 1 species